CCCACGCAGCACGCAGUACAGGCGCCGGUGACGUCACUCAUCCGCGCCUGUACUGUGGAGGGGAGAAGACGCGGGCCCUGCUGAGGAGAUCGCUGCGUGGGAUAUCAGAUGUUAAGAGAUCCACAUGGCGGUCGUAUCCGGAUGGAGAAGAAAAGGAAAGAGGAGGCCGCUGAUUAGAAAAGACGUAAUUGUGAAUCCUACUCAGCUAUAAUACUCCUGAAUACUGGAGGGUAGAACAAGACAGAGAAGACGCUGCCAGGUACAUUCGGUCCCCGCUGCCAGGUACGU